UACGGGGGGAGCAAGCGUUGUUCGGAUUUACUGGGCGUAAAGGGCGCGUAGGCGGCCAGCGCAAGUCAGUUGUGAAAUCUCCGGGCUUAACUCGGAACGGUCAACUGAUACUGCGCGGCUAGAGUGCGGAAGGGGCAACUGGAAUUCUCGGUGUAGCGGUGAAAUGCGUAGAUAUCGAGAGGAACACCUGCGGCGAAGGCGGGUUGCUGGGCCGACACUGACGCUGAUGCGCGAAAGCCAGGGAGCGAACGGG
rnacentral:rRNA from 1 species